AUUGAACGCUGGCGGCAUGCCUUACACAUGCAAGUCGAACGGUAACAGGUUAAGCUGACGAGUGGCGAACGGGUGAGUAAUAUAUCGGAACGUGCCCAGUCGUGGGGGAUAACGCAGCGAAAGCUGUGCUAAUACCGCAUACGAUCUACGGAUGAAAGCGGGGGAUCGCAAGACCUCGCGCGAUUGGAGCGGCCGAUAUCAGAUUAGCUAGUUGGUGGGGUAAAAGCCCACCAAGGCGACGAUCUGUAGCUGGUUUGAGAGGACGACCAGCCACACUGGAACUGAGACACGGUCCAGACUCCUACGGGAGGCAGCAGUGGGGAAUUUUGGACAAUGGGCGCAAGCCUGAUCCAGCAAUGCCGCGUGCAGGAUGAAGGCCUUCGGGUUGUAAACUGCUUUUGUACGGAACGAAAAGGUYUGCCCUAAUACGGCGGGCUCAUGACGGUACCGUAAGAAUAAGCACCGGCUAACUCUGUG
rnacentral:rRNA from 1 species